CCUACGGGGUGCAGCAGUGGGGAAUAUUGCGCAAUGGGCGAAAGCCUGACGCAGCGACGCCGCGUGAGGGAUGAAGGUCUUCGGAUCGUAAACCUCUGUCAGCAGGGAAGAACGGUCACUGUGCUAAUCAGCAGUGAAUUGACGGUACCUGCAACGGAAGCACCGGCUAACUCCGUGCCAGCAGCCGCGGUAAUACGGAGGGUGCGAGCGUUAAUCGGAAUUACUGGGCGUAAAGCGCUCGUAGGCGGUAUGUCAAGUCAAGGGUGAAAUCCCCGCGCUCAACGUGGGAACUGCCUUUGAAACUGGCAAACUGGAGUGUGUGAGAGGAUAGUGGAAUUCCAGGUGUAGGGGUGAAAUGCGUAGAGAUCUGGAGGAACAUCAGUGGCGAAGGCGACUAUCUGGCACAUAACUGACGCUGAGGCGCGAAAGCGUGGGUAGCAAACAGGAUUAGAUACCCCGGUAGUC
rnacentral:rRNA from 1 species